rnacentral:rRNA from 1 species
UACAGAGGGGGCAAGCGUUGUUCGGAAUUACUGGGCGUAAAGGGCGCGUAGGCGGCCGCCUAAGUCAGACGUGAAAUCCCUCGGCUCAACCGGGGAACUGCGUCUGAUACUGGGUGGCUUGAAUCCGGGAGAGGGAUGCGGAAUUCCAGGUGUAGCGGUGAAAUGCGUAGAUAUCAGGAGGAACAUCGAUGGCGAAGGCAGCCCCCUGGGCCGCUACUGACGCUCAUGCACGAAAGCGUGGGGAGCAAACAGG